UUUUUUUUUUUUUUUUUUUUUGAGAGUUUUGCUCUGUCGCCCAUGCUGGAGUGCAGUGGCACAAUCUCGGCUCACUGCAACCUCUGCCUCUGGGUUCAAGCAAUUCUUGUGCAUCAGCCUCCUGAGUAGCUGGGAUUACAGGCACCCACCACCAUGCUGGGCUAAUUUUUUUUUUUUUUUGGUAGAGAUGGGGUUUCACCAUGUUGGCCAGGCUGGUCUCAAACUCCUGACCUCCAGUGAUCUGCCCACCUUGGUGUCUGUGCUGGGAUCCUUUUCUGUUAACUUGCUUAUAAAAAUGUCACACUCUGUAUUAAGACAUAAGGAGUUAGAAAAUCACUGUAAAAAUAAAGUUGCUUGUUGUACAGGUACUAACAAGCAUUUUCUGAAAUGGAAAUUUGUUUUUUUAUUAACCUAAUACAAAUAAGGUUCAAGCACUGUAUUUAAAUAUUUAAAAGAUAGGAGUUUCUUAAAAUACCACAUAUGGUGCUCUUGUGAGCUUGCUUUUCUCCACAAUUUGGCAAUUUGCUUCACUCUAGUAGUCCAAUCUGCAACAAAAGAACAGAAUAUAACACUUUCUCAGAGCCAUGCUAAUGAUGUGUUGUAUUAAAGAAUGUUGAUGAACUGCUGACAGUUAAUCUUAUUCAGGCCGUAUUCUCAUGAGGUCAUAGAUCUAUAUUAAGUUUUUUUACAAAGAACAAAGAUCCUGGCACACUGUAGGCCAAACAAACGUUUUCUAAAUGAAGUGUUGCCUUAUUAACAACCUAGCUUGUAGGUUGGGAAGUUUUUAGAUUCAAGGGACAAAGUAGCAAAAAUGUGCCCUCUCCCUCACCCUCACCUUCUCCCUCUCCCUCUCUCUCUCCCGUCUCCGUCGUCUCUGUCUCCUGCUUUCCACGGUCUCCCCCUCUCCCUCGUCUCCGUCUCCCGCUUUCCACGGUCUCCCUCUGUUGCCGAGGCUGGACUGUACUGCUGCGAUCUCGGCUCACUGCAACCUCCCUGCCUGAUUCUCCUGCCUCAGCCUGCUGAGUGCCUGGGAUUGCAGGCGCGCGCCACCACGCCUGACUGGUUUUUGUAUUUUUUGGUGGAGACGGGGUUUCGCCGUGUUGGCCGGGCUGGUCUCCAGCUCCUGACCACGAGUGAUCUGCCCGCCCUGGCCUCCCGAGGUGCCGGGAUUGCAGAGGGAGUCUUGCUCACUCAGUGCUCAAUGUUGCCCAGGCUGGAGUGCAGUGGCGUGAUCUCUGCUCGCUACAAUCUCCACCUCCCAGCCACCUGCCUUGGCCUCCCAAAGUGCUGAGAUUGCAGCCUCUGCCCGGCCGCCACCCCGUCUAGGAAGUGAGGAGCGUCUCUGCCUGGCCGCCCAUCGUCUGGGAUGUGAGGAGCCCCUCUGCCUGGCCGCCCAGUCUGGGAAGUGAGGAGCGCCUCUUCCCGGCUGCCAUCCUGUCUAGGAAGUGAGGAGCGUCUCUGCCUGGCCGCCCAUCGUCUGGGAUGUGGGGAGCGCCUCUGCCCGGCCGCCCUGUCUAGGAGGUGAGGAGCGUCUCUACCCGGCCACCACCCCGUCAGGGAACUGAGGAGCGCCUCUGCCCGGCUGCCCCGUCUGAGAAGUGAGGAGCCCCUCUGCCCGGCCACCCCGUCUGAGAAGUGAGGAGCCCCUCUGCCCGGCAGCCGCCCCGUCUGGCAGGCAGCAAAUAUGAAGUCUAUGGACCCUGCCUCAGGUUAUUCAAAUAACAUCCUCACCAUUGAUCAAAUGCUCAAGAAAAAGCAGACUUGUAUAGUGGCCGAUGCAACUACUAUUAAACAACAUGUGAAGAGAGCUACUGAUACCUAUAAUUUGGGAAUUGCCCUUGAACACCGAAAAGAAAUGCUAAACCUCUGGCAGAAGAUCCGAGGGGAUUUGAUUGGGAUAGACUCUAGAAAUGAGGCCUUUUAUGACACCUUUUCUACUUAUACAUGGUCCUGGAAUGUUUGCCAAGAAUUACUUUCUCCUAAGGACUUAAGGUUAUAUGAUGCCUAUGUGAAUAGAAAUUCCUCCCAUAACUGCAGAUCCUCUUCCUCAUCAGAUACCAGUGAAUGUGACACAGACUCAGGAAGAAAAAGAAAACAGAAAGGUUUAAAGGGAUUUCAACAAUGAAAUUUCUACAUUUUCUAAACAGCUCAUCACAAACUACUUUUUCAUAGUUAUCAAAAUUAUUGUUUCUUGCUUUUGUCUAAGUACAUUCUUAGAAGCUGGAAAUGUUGACAUCUUUUGGAUUCUGACCAGUAAAAAACCUUAAACCAUUUA
rnacentral:lncRNA from 1 species